ensembl:processed_transcript N4bp2os NEDD4 binding protein 2, opposite strand
CCCGCGCCGCCAACGUGCGGUCGGAACCCGCUGGCCUGAGCCCAAAAGAGCUGCGGCCUUUGCCAGUGUGGAGCUGGAGUUUUCAGUUUUUACAGAUGUUUGAUCUCUUACUGGAUUACCAACUCCUGGAAGAUAGGUUGUUUCCUGCUCAGCCUUGUAUUCCUCACUGCCAAACCCAGAAACUUGUACAAAAGAAGCAGUGUGCUGUGUUAAAGGUGGAAUAAACAGGGAUAGC